CUACUUGGAUUAAUACUCUAGGAUAGUGGACGUUACUCGCAGAAUAAGCACCGGCUAACUCUGUGCCAGCAGCCGCGGUAAUACAGAGGGUGCGAGCGUUAAUCGGAUUUACUGGGCGUAAAGCGUGCGUAGGCGGCUUUUUAAGUCGGAUGUGAAAUCCCUGAGCUUAACUUAGGAAUUGCAUUCGAUACUGGGAAGCUAGAGUAUGGGAGAGGAUGGUAGAAUUCCAGGUGUAGCGGUGAAAUGCGUAGAGAUCUGGAGGAAUACCGAUGGCGAAGGCAGCCAUCUGGCCUAAUACUGACGCUGAGGUACGAAAGCAUGGGGAGCAAACAGGAUUAGAUACCCUGGUAGUCCAUGCCGUAAACGAUGUCUACUAGCCGUUGGGGCCUUUGAGGCUUUAGUGGCGCAGCUAACGCGAUAAGUAGACCGCCUGGGGAGUACGGUCGCAAGACUAAAACUCAAAUGAAUUGACGGGGGCCCGCACAAGCGGUGGAGCAUGUGGUUUAAUUCGAUGCAACGCGAAGAACCUUACCUGGUCUUGACAUAGUAAGAACUUUCCAGAGAUGGAUUGGUGCCUUCGGGAACUUACAUACAGGUGCUGCAUGGCUGUCGUCAGCUCGUGUCGUGAGAUGUUGGGUUAAGUCCCGCAACGAGCGCAACCCUUUUCCUUAUUUGCCAGCGGGUUAAGCCGGGAACUUUAAGGAUACUGCCAGUGACAAACUGGAGGAAGGCGGGGACGACGUCAAGUCAUCAUGGCCCUUACGACCAGGGCUACACACGUGCUACAAUGGUCGGUACAAAGGGUUGCUACCUAGCGAUAGGAUGCUAAUCUCAAAAAGCCGAUCGUAGUCCGGAUUGGAGUCUGCAACUCGACUCCAUGAAGUCGGAAUCGCUAGUAAUCGCGGAUCAGAAUGCCGCGGUGAAUACGUUCCCGGGCCUUGUACACACCGCCCGUCACACCAUGGGAAUUUGUUGCACCAGAAGUAGGUAGUCUAACCGCAAGGAGGACGCUACCACGGUGAACCCA
rnacentral:rRNA from 1 species